AUGUUCUCAUCGCACUCGGUGAGCUGCAUCAACAACAUCCGCACCUCACUCAUCAAUGCGUAGAAGGGUAAUCUCUCGGUUGUCUCUUACUUUGCUGCUAUGCGGAGGUAUCUAGAUGAGCUCGCCGCAGUGGGCAAGGCUAUCCAUGAUGAUGAGCUUGUCUCCUACAUCAUCCAUGGGUUAGAUGCGGAUUACCAACCUCUGGUGUCUGCCCUCGACGCUCGUGUCACACCCGUCACGCUGGACGAGCUGUUCGCCAUGCUCUCUAACUUCGACCAAUGCGUGGCCCAGUACCACGGGUCCAGCGGCGGCGGCUUCAAGUCUUCAGCUAACAUGGCAUCUCGUGGACGGGGCAGCAGCUCCCGUUCACGCGGCACUCCCCGCAACAAGGGGCGAUCUGGUGGCGGCGGCGGCGGCAACGACCGCGGCUCCUCUCGUUAG
rnacentral:rRNA from 1 species